GCCUCGGUGGUGUGGUGGUUAGAGCGCGCGUCUCCACAUAGGAUGAAACGCGGGUUCGAUUCCCGCUUGGGCCG